rnacentral:snoRNA from 1 species
AUACCAUGAUGCGGACAUAUAACCAAUAUCCCUUUGAAACGUUCCCAUGUUUCAUGUAGUGUCUCCAUUGGUCUCUGUUUAAAACUUAAAAUUUCAUCAAUUUGUUG